GACGAACGUUGGCGGCGUGCUUAACACAUGCAAGUCGAACGAUGAAGCCUAGCUUGCUAGGUGGAUUAGUGGCGAACGGGUGAGUAAUACGUGAGUAACCUACCUUUAACUCUGGGAUAAGCCUGGGAAACUGGGUCUAAUACCGGAUACGACCAAUCUCCGCAUGGGGUGUUGGUGGAAAGCGUUAUGUAGUGGUUAUAGAUGGGCUCACGGCCUAUCAGCUUGUUGGUGAGGUAACGGCUCACCAAGGCGACGACGGGUAGCCGGCCUGAGAGGGUGACCGGCCACACUGGGACUGAGACACGGCCCAGACUCCUACGGGAGGCAGCAGUGGGGAAUAUUGCACAAUGGGCGCAAGCCUGAUGCAGCGACGCCGCGUGAGGGAUGACGGCCUUCGGGUUGUAAACCUCUGUUAGCAGGGAAGAAGAGAAAUUGACGGUACCUGCAGAGAGAGCGCCGGCUAACUACGUGCCAGCAGCCGCGGUAAUACGUAGGGCGCGAGCGUUGUCCGGAAUUAUUGGGCGUAAAGAGCUUGUAGGCGGUUUGUCGCGUCUGCUGUGAAAGGCCGGGGCUUAACCCCGUGUAUUGCAGUGGGUACGGGCAGACUAGAGUGCAGUAGGGGAGACUGGAACUCCUGGUGUAGCGGUGGAAUGCGCAGAUAUCAGGAAGAACACCGAUGGCGAAGGCAGGUCUCUGGGCUGUAACUGACGCUGAGAAGCGAAAGCAUGGGGAGCGAACAGGAUUAGAUACCCUGGUAGUCCAUGCCGUAAACGUUGGGCACUAGGUGUGGGGACAUUCCACGUUUUCCGCGCCGUAGCUAACGCAUUAAGUGCCCCGCCUGGGGAGUACGGCCGCAAGGCUAAAACUCAAAGAAAUUGACGGGGGCCCGCACAAGCGGCGGAGCAUGCGGAUUAAUUCGAUGCAACGCGAAGAACCUUACCAAGGCUUGACAUAUACUGGACCGCAUCAGAGAUGGUGUUUCCCUUCGGGGCUGGUAUACAGGUGGUGCAUGGUUGUCGUCAGCUCGUGUCGUGAGAUGUUGGGUUAAGUCCCGCAACGAGCGCAACCCUCGUUCUAUGUUGCCAGCACGUUAUGGCGGGGACUCAUAGGAGACUGCCGGGGUCAACUCGGAGGAAGGUGGGGAUGACGUCAAAUCAUCAUGCCCCUUAUGUCUUGGGCUUCACGCAUGCUACAAUGGCCGGUACAGAGGGUUGCGAUACUGUGAGGUGGAGCUAAUCCCUAAAAGCCGGUCUCAGUUCGGAUUGGGGUCUGCAACUCGACCCCAUGAAGUCGGAGUCGCUAGUAAUCGCAGAUCAGCAACGCUGCGGUGAAUACGUUCCCGGGCCU
rnacentral:rRNA from 1 species